UACGGAGGGUGCGAGCGUUGUCCGGAAUCACUGGGCGUAAAGAGCUCGUAGGCGGUUUGUCGCGUCUGCCGUGAAAGUCCGGGGCUCAACUCCGGAUCUGCGGUGGGUACGGGCAGACUAGAGUGAUGUAGGGGAGAGUGGAAUUCCUGGUGUAGCGGUGGAAUGCGCAGAUAUCAGGAAGAACACCCGUGGCGAAGGCGGCUCUCUGGAACGCAACUGACGCUGAGACGCGAAAGCGUGGGGAGCAAACAGG
rnacentral:rRNA from 1 species